GGCGUAAGCGCACGCAGGCGGUUUGUUAAGUCAGAUGUGAAAUCCCCGCGCUUAACGUGGGAACUGCAUUUGAAACUGGCAAGCUAGAGUCUUGUAGAGGGGGGUAGAAUUCCAGGUGUAGCGGUGAAAUGCGUAGAGAUCUGGAGGAAUACCGGUGGCGAAGGCGGCCCCCUGGACAAAGACUGACGCUCAGGUGCGAAAGCGUGGGGAGCAAACAGGAUUAGAUACCCUGGUAGUCCACGCUGUAAACGAUGUCGACUUGGAGGUUGUGCCCUUGAGGCGUGGCUUCCGGAGCUAACGCGUUAAGAUCGACCGCCUGGGGAGUACGGCCGCAAGGUUAAAACUCAAAUGAAUUGA
rnacentral:rRNA from 1 species